GACGAACGCUGGCGGCGUGCUUAACACAUGCAAGUCGAACGGAGAGGCCCUGCUUUUGUGGGGUGCUCGAGUGGCGAACGGGUGAGUAACACGUGAGUAACCUACCCUUGCCUUUGGGAUAACUUCAGGAAACUGGGGCUAAUACCGGAUAGGAGCUCCUGCUGCAUGGUGGGGGUUGGAAAGUUUCGGCGGUUGGGGAUGGACUCGCGGGUUGUUAGGUUGUUGGUGGGGUAGUGGGUUACCCAGGCUUUCAAGGGUGGCCGGCCUGAGAGGGUUACCGGCCACAUUGGGACUGAGAUACGGCGCAGACUCCUACGGGAGGCAGCAGUGGGGAAUAUUGUACAAUGGGCGGAAGCCUGAUGCAGCAACGCCGUGUGCGGGAUGACGGCCUUCGGGUUGUAAACCGCUUUCGCCUGGGACGAAGCGGGAGUGACGGUAAUGGGUAAAGAAGCACCGGCUAACUACGUG
rnacentral:rRNA from 1 species